rnacentral:rRNA from 1 species
GUUGAACGCUGGCUGCAUGCCUUACACAUGCAAGUCGAACGGUAACCGGUUAAGCUGACGAGUGGCGAACGGGUGAGUAAUGUAUCGGAACGUGCCCAGUCGUGGGGGAUAACUACUCGAAAGAGUGGCUAAUACCGCAUACGACCUGAGGGUGAAAGCGGGGGACCGUAAGGCCACGAGCGAUUGGAGCGGCCGAUAUCCGAUUAGCUAGUUGGUGGGGUAAAAGCCCACCAAGGCGACGAUCUGUAGCUGGUCUGAGAGGACAACCAGCCACACUGGGACUGAGACACGGCCCAGACUCCUACGGGAGGCAGCAGUGGGGAAUUUUGGACAAUGGACGCAAGUCUGAUCCAGCCAUGCCGCGUGCGGGAAGAAGGCCUUCGGGUUGUAAACCGCUUUUGUCAGGGAAGAAACGAGUUUCUCUAAUACAGAGACUUAAUGACGGUACCUGAAGAAUAAGCACCGGCUAACUACGUGCCAGCAGCCGCCGUAAUAC